AUGUGCCGGAAUCUGAAAUCAAUAUCGUCAAAAUUCUGGUGGGGAGCAACGGAUGGUGAGCGGAAGGUGCAUUGGAUCUCCUGGGAAAAGAUGUGAGAGUCUCGGAAGGAGGGGGGCCUUAGCUUUAGGGACCCCGAGGUGUUCAACCAGGCGCUUCUUGCCAAGCAGGCGUGGCGUAUCUACCAGCGGCCUUCUUCAUUGUGUGCCUGUGUCUUGAAAGCUCGCUACUACCCGUGCUGUUCCAUUCUGAAUGCUACGUGCCCGACGGCGGGCUCCUUCACCUUCAGAAGCAUCAUCCAUGGAAGGGAGCUGCUAAGAGCGGGCUCAAUCUGGCGGAUCGGGGAUGGCUCAUCUAUUAAUGUUCAUCACAGCAAUUGGAUCCCA
rnacentral:rRNA from 1 species